UACAGAGGGUGCAAGCGUUAAUCGGAAUUACUGGGCGUAAAGCGUGCGUAGACGGUUGCGUAAGUCAGAUGUGAAAGCCCCGGGCUCAACCUGGGAAUUGCAUUUGAGACUGCGUAGCUAGGGUGCGGAAGAGGGAAGCGGAAUUUCCGGUGUAGCGGUGAAAUGCGUAGAUAUCUGGAGGAACACCGGUGGCGAAGGCGGCAUCCUGGACCAACACUGACGCUGAGUGAGCGAAAGCCAGGGGAGCAAACGGG
rnacentral:rRNA from 1 species